rnacentral:hammerhead_ribozyme from 1 species
AUCUGGAUGACGAGUCCCAAAUAGGACGCAGUGUGAAUCCUAGAU